AUUGAACGCUGGCGGCAGGCUUAACACAUGCAAGUCGAGCGGGGGAAGGUAGCUUGCUACCGGACCUAGCGGCGGACGGGUGAGUAAUGCUUAGGAAUCUGCCUAUUAGUGGGGGACAACAUCUCGAAAGGGAUGCUAAUACCGCAUACGUCCUACGGGAGAAAGCAGGGGAUCUUCGGACCUUGCGCUAAUAGAUGAGCCUAAGUCGGAUUAACUAGUUGGUGGGGUAAAGGCCUACCAAGGCGACGAUCUGUAGCGGGUCUGAGAGGAUGAUCCGCCGCACUGGGACUGAGACACGGCCCAGACUCCUACGGGAGGCAGCAGUGGGGAAUAUUGGACAAUGGGGGGAACCCUGAUCCAGCCAUGCCGCGUGUGUGAAGAAGGCCUUAUGGUUGUAAAGCACUUUAAGCGAGGAGGAGGCUACUUUAGUUAAUACCUAGAGAUAGUGGACGUUACUCGCAGAAUAAGCACCGGCUAACUCUGUGCCAGCAGCCGCGGUAA
rnacentral:rRNA from 1 species